rnacentral:rRNA from 1 species
GACGAACGCUGGCGGCGUGCUUAACACAUGCAAGUCGAACGGAAAGGCCCUGCUUUUGUGGGGUGCUCGAGUGGCGAACGGGUGAGUAACACGUGAGUAACCUGCCCUUGACUUUGGGAUAACUUCAGGAAACUGGGGCUCAUACCGGAUAGGAUCUCCUGCUGCAUGGUGGGGGUUGGAAAGUUUCGGCGGUUGGGGAUGGACUCGCGGCUUAUCAGCUUGUUGGUGGGGUAGUGGCUUACCAAGGCUUUGACGGGUAGCCGGCCUGAGAGGGUGACCGGCGACAUUGGGACUGAGAUACGGCCCAGACUCCUACGGGAGGCAGCAGUGGAGAAUAUUGCACAGUGGGCGGAAGCCUGAUGCAGCAACGCCGCGUGCGGGAUGACGGCAUUCGGGUUGUAAACCGCUUUCGCCUGUGACGAAGCGUGAGUGACGGUAAUGGGUAAAAAAGCACCGGCUAACUACGUG